rnacentral:rRNA from 1 species
UUAAGCGACUAAGCGUACACGGUGGAUGCCCUGGCAGUCAGAGGCGAUGAAGGACGUGCUAAUCUGCGAUAAGCGUCGGUAAGGUGAUAUGAACCGUUAUAACCGGCGAUUUCCGAAUGGGGAAACCCAGUGUGAUUCGUCACACUAUCAUUAACUGAAUCCAUAGGUUAAUGAGGCGAACCGGGGGAACUGAAACAUCUAAGUACCCCGAGGAAAAGAAAUCAACCGAGAUUCCCCCAGUAGCGGCGAGCGAACGGGGAGCAGCCCAGAGCCUGAAUCAGUGUGUGUGUUAGUGGAAGCGUCUGGAAAGGCGCGCGAUACAGGGUGACAGCCCCGUACACAAAAAUGCACAUGCUGUGAGCUCGAUGAGUAGGGCGGGACACGUGGUAUCCUGUCUGAAUAUGGGGGGACCAUCCUCCAAGGCUAAAUACUCCUGACUGACCGAUAGUGAACCAGUACCGUGAGGGAAAGGCGAAAAGAACCCCGGCGAGGGGAGUGAAAAAGAACCUGAAACCGUGUACGUACAAGCAGUGGGAGCACGCUUAGGCGUGUGACUGCGUACCUUUUGUAUAAUGGGUCAGCGACUUAUAUUCUGUAGCAAGGUUAACCGAAUAGGGGAGCCGAAGGGAAACCGAGUCUUAACUGGGCGUUAAGUUGCAGGGUAUAGACCCGAAACCCGGUGAUCUAGCCAUGGGCAGGUUGAAGGUUGGGUAACACUAACUGGAGGACCGAACCGACUAAUGUUGAAAAAUUAGCGGAUGACUUGUGGCUGGGGGUGAAAGGCCAAUCAAACCGGGAGAUAGCUGGUUCUCCCCGAAAGCUAUUUAGGUAGCGCCUCGUGAAUUCAUCUCCGGGGGUAGAGCACUGUUUCGGCAAGGGGGUCAUCCCGACUUACCAACCCGAUGCAAACUGCGAAUACCGGAGAAUGUUAUCACGGGAGACACACGGCGGGUGCUAACGUCCGUCGUGAAGAGGGAAACAACCCAGACCGCCAGCUAAGGUCCCAAAGUCAUGGUUAAGUGGGAAACGAUGUGGGAAGGCCCAGACAGCCAGGAUGUUGGCUUAGAAGCAGCCAUCAUUUAAAGAAAGCGUAAUAGCUCACUGGUCGAGUCGGCCUGCGCGGAAGAUGUAACGGGGCUAAACCAUGCACCGAAGCUGCGGCAGCGACGCUUAUGCGUUGUUGGGUAGGGGAGCGUUCUGUAAGCCUGCGAAGGUGUGCUGUGAGGCAUGCUGGAGGUAUCAGAAGUGCGAAUGCUGACAUAAGUAACGAUAAAGCGGGUGAAAAGCCCGCUCGCCGGAAGACCAAGGGUUCCUGUCCAACGUUAAUCGGGGCAGGGUGAGUCGACCCCUAAGGCGAGGCCGAAAGGCGUAGUCGAUGGGAAACAGGUUAAUAUUCCUGUACUUGGUGUUACUGCGAAGGGGGGACGGAGAAGGCUAUGUUGGCCGGGCGACGGUUGUCCCGGUUUAAGCGUGUAGGCUGGUUUUCCAGGCAAAUCCGGAAAAUCAAGGCUGAGGCGUGAUGACGAGGCACUACGGUGCUGAAGCAACAAAUGCCCUGCUUCCAGGAAAAGCCUCUAAGCAUCAGGUAACAUCAAAUCGUACCCCAAACCGACACAGGUGGUCAGGUAGAGAAUACCAAGGCGCUUGAGAGAACUCGGGUGAAGGAACUAGGCAAAAUGGUGCCGUAACUUCGGGAGAAGGCACGCUGAUAUGUAGGUGAAGUCCCUCGCGGAUGGAGCUGAAAUCAGUCGAAGAUACCAGCUGGCUGCAACUGUUUAUUAAAAACACAGCACUGUGCAAACACGAAAGUGGACGUAUACGGUGUGACGCCUGCCCGGUGCCGGAAGGUUAAUUGAUGGGGUCAGCGCAAGCGAAGCUCUUGAUCGAAGCCCCGGUAAACGGCGGCCGUAACUAUAACGGUCCUAAGGUAGCGAAAUUCCUUGUCGGG